UACAGAGGGUGCUAGCGUUGUUCGGAAUACUGGGCGUAAAGCGUGCGCAGGCGGUUAUGUAAGACAGAUGUGAAAUGCCCGGGCUUAACCUGGGAACUGCAUUUGUGACUGCAUGGCUAGAAUCUGGCAGAGGGGGGUAGAAUUCCACGUGUAGCAGUGAAAUGCGUAGAUAUGUGGAGGAACACCGAUGGCGAAGGCAGCCCCCCUGGGUCAAGAUUGACGCUCAUGCACGAAAGCGUGGGGAGCAAACAGG
rnacentral:rRNA from 1 species